rnacentral:rRNA from 1 species
GAUGAACGCUGGCUACAGGCUUAACACAUGCAAGUCGAGGGGAAACGACGGGGAAGCUUGCUUCCCCGGGCGUCGACCGGCGCACGGGUGAGUAACGCGUAUCCAACCUGCCUCUGACUGAGGGAUAACCCGUCGAAAGUCGGCCUAAUACCUCAUGGCAUCGUCUGCGGGCAUCCAACGACGAUUAAAGAUUUCAUCGGUCAGGGAUGGGGAUGCGUCUGAUUAGCUUGUUGGCGGGGUAACGGCCCACCAAGGCUACGAUCAGUAGGGGUUCUGAGAGGAAGGUCCCCCACAUUGGAACUGAGACACGGUCCAUACUCCUACGGGAGGCAGCAGUGAGGAAUAUUGGUCAAUGGGCGGGAGCCUGAACCAGCCAAGUAGCGUGCAGGAUGACGGCCCUAUGGGUUGUAAACUGCUUUUAUGCGGGGAUAAAGUGAGGGACGUGUCCUUCAUUGCAGGUACCGCAUGAAUAAGGACCGGCUAAGUCCGUG